rnacentral:tRNA from 1 species
GGGCGCUUAGCUCAGCGGGAGAGCGCUUCCCUGACGCGGAAGAGGUCACAGGUUCGAUCCCUGUAGCGCCCA